AUUGAACGCUGGCGGCAGGCCUAACACAUGCAAGUCGAGCGAGAGGCGGACGGGUGAGUAAUGUAUGGGGGUCUGCCCGAUAGAGGGGGAUAACUACUGGAAACGGUAGCUAAUACCGCAUACUAUCGGAGGAACCCACAUGGGAUUAGCUCGUAGGUGAGGUAAUGGCUCACCUAGGCGACGAUCCCUAGCUGGGCUGAGAGGAUGAUCAGCCACACUGGGACUGAGACACGGCCCAGACUCCUACGGGAGGCAGCAGUGGGGAAUUUUGGACAAUGGGGGAAACCCUGAUGCAGCCAUCCCGCGUGUAUGAUGAAGGCCUUCGGGUUGUAAAGUACUUUUGGCGGAGAUGCGGUAUCUGCAGAAUAAGCACCGGCUAACUACGUGCCAGCAGCCGCGGUAAUUC
rnacentral:rRNA from 1 species